rnacentral:rRNA from 1 species
CAGUAGCCGCGGGAAUACGUAGGUGGCAAGCGUUAUCCGGAAUUAUUGGGCGUAAAGCGCGCGUAGGCGGUUUUUUAAGUCUGAUGUGAAAGCCCACGGCUCAACCGUGGAGGGUCAUUGGAAACUGGAAAACUUGAGUGCAGAAGAGGAAAGUGGAAUUCCAUGUGUAGCGGUGAAAUGCGCAGAGAUAUGGAGGAGCACCAGUGGCGAAGGCGACUUUCUGGUCUGUAACUGACGCUGAUGUGCGAAAGCGUGGGGAGCGAACAGGAUUAGAUACCCCGGUAGUCCCUGUCUCUUAUAC